AUGAACGCUGGCGGCGUGCCUAAUACAUGCAAGUCGAGCGAACGGACGAGAAGCUUGCUUCUCUGAUGUUAGCGGCGGACGGGUGAGUAACACGUGGAUAACCUACCUAUAAGACUGGGAUAACUUCGGGAAACCGGAGCUAAUACCGGAUGAUAUUUUUAAACGCAUGGUUCAAAAAUGAAAGACGGGCUUGCUGUCACUUAUAAAUGGAUCCGCGCCGCAUUAGCUAGUUGGUAAGGUAACGGCUUACCAAGGCAACGAUGCAUAGCCGACCUGAGAGGGUGAUCGGCCACACUGGAACUGAGACACGGUCCAGACUCCUACGGGAGGCAGCAGUAGGGAAUCUUCCGCAAUGGGCGAAAGCCUGACGGAGCAACGCCGCGUGAGUGAUGAAGGUCUUCGGAUCGUAAAACUCUGUUAUUAGGGAAGAACAUAUGUGUAAGUAACUGUGCACAUCUUGACGGUACCUAAUCAGAAAGCCACGGCUAACUACGUG
rnacentral:rRNA from 1 species